rnacentral:rRNA from 1 species
AACGUAGGUUCCGAGCGUUAUCCGGAUUUACUGGGCGUAAAGCGCGUUCAGGCGGUUUGGCAAGUCGGGCAUGAAAUCUCUCGGCUCAACCGGGAGAGGUUGUCCGAUACUGCUGGACUUGAGGGCAGUAGAGGGUGGUGGAAUUCCGGGUGUAGUGGUGAAAUGCGUAGAUAUCCGGAGGAACACCAGUGGCGAAGGCGGCCUUCUGGGAUGAUCCUGACGCUCAGACACGAAAGCUAGGGGAGCGAACGGG